AGAGUUUGAUCCUGGCUCAGGACGAACGCUGGCGGCGUGCCUAAUACAUGCAAGUCGAACGAACUCUGGUAUUGAUUGGUGCUUGCAUCAUGAUUUACAUUUGAGUGAGUGGCGAACUGGUGAGUAACACGUGGGAAACCUGCCCAGAAGCGGGGGAUAACACCUGGAAACAGAUGCUAAUACCGCAUAACAACUUGGACCGCAUGGUCCGAGCUUGAAAGAUGGCUUCGGCUAUCACUUUUGGAUGGUCCCGCGGCGUAUUAGCUAGAUGGUGGGGUAAUGGCUCACCAUGGCAAUGAUACGUAGCCGACCUGAGAGGGUAAUCGGCCACAUUGGGACUGAGACACGGCCCAAACUCCUACGGGAGGCAGCAGUAGGGAAUCUUCCACAAUGGACGAAAGUCUGAUGGAGCAACGCCGCGUGAGUGAAGAAGGGUUUCGGCUCGUAAAACUCUGUUGUUAAAGAAGAACAUAUCUGAGAGUAACUGUUCAGGUAUUGACGGUAUUUAACCAGAAAGCCACGGCUAACUACGUGCCAGCAGCCGCGGUAAUACGUAGGUGGCAAGCGUUGUCCGGAUUUAUUGGGCGUAAAGCGAGCGCAGGCGGUUUUUUAAGUCUGAUGUGAAAGCCUUCGGCUCAACCGAAGAAGUGCAUCGGAAACUGGGAAACUUGAGUGCAGAAGAGGACAGUGGAACUCCAUGUGUAGCGGUGAAAUGCGUAGAUAUAUGGAAGAACACCAGUGGCGAAGGCGGCUGUCUGGUCUGUAACUGACGCUGAGGCUCGAAAGUAUGGGUAGCAAACAGGAUUAGAUACCCUGGUAGUCCAUACCGUAAACGAUGAAUGCUAAGUGUUGGAGGGUUUCCGCCCUUCAGUGCUGCAGCUAACGCAUUAAGCAUUCCGCCUGGGGAGUACGGCCGCAAGGCUGAAACUCAAAGGAAUUGACGGGGGCCCGCACAAGCGGUGGAGCAUGUGGUUUAAUUCGAAGCUACGCGAAGAACCUUACCAGGUCUUGACAUACUAUGCAAAUCUAAGAGAUUAGACGUUCCCUUCGGGGACAUGGAUACAGGUGGUGCAUGGUUGUCGUCAGCUCGUGUCGUGAGAUGUUGGGUUAAGUCCCGCAACGAGCGCAACCCUUAUUAUCAGUUGCCAGCAUUAAGUUGGGCACUCUGGUGAGACUGCCGGUGACAAACCGGAGGAAGGUGGGGAUGACGUCAAAUCAUCAUGCCCCUUAUGACCUGGGCUACACACGUGCUACAAUGGAUGGUACAACGAGUUGCGAACUCGCGAGAGUAAGCUAAUCUCUUAAAGCCAUUCUCAGUUCGGAUUGUAGGCUGCAACUCGCCUACAUGAAGUCGGAAUCGCUAGUAAUCGCGGAUCAGCAUGCCGCGGUGAAUACGUUCCCGGGCCUUGUACACACCGCCCGUCACACCAUGAGAGUUUGUAACACCCAAAGUCGGUGGGGUAACCUUUUAGGAACCAGCCGCCUAAGGUGGGACAGAUGAUUAGGGUGAAGUCGUAACAAGGUAGCCGUAGGAGAACCUGCGGCUGGAUCACCU
rnacentral:rRNA from 1 species